GUGAGGGAGGGUGUGACUAGUGACAGUUAGGCAGGGAAGGGGUGACUAGUGACAGAGGGAGGGGUGACUAGGGACAGAGUGAGGGAGGUGGUGACUAGUGACAGUCACCACCUCCCUCACUCUGUCACUAGUCACCACCUCCCUCCAUCACUGUGUCACCCCCUCCCUCACUCUGUCACCAGUCAUCCCCUUACUCUGUCACUAGUCACCCCUCCCUUCCCUCAC